rnacentral:rRNA from 1 species
UACAGAGGGGGCAAGCGUUAUUCGGAAUUAUUGGGCGUAAAGGGCGCGUAGGCGGCUUGGCAAGUGGACGGUGAAAUCCCUCGGCUUAACCGAGGAACUGCCGUCCAAACUGCUUUGCUUGAGGCCGGGAGAGGCGAGUGGAAUUCCCAGUGUAGCGGUGAAAUGCGUAGAUAUUGGGAGGAACACCAGUGGCGAAGGCGGCUCGCUGGACCGGUUCUGACGCUGAUGCGCGAAAGCGUGGGGAGCAAACGGG